rnacentral:lncRNA from 1 species
GCUAAAAGUAGUUGAUUAGAUCAUGCAUGCAUGUAGUUGAGACGUGACACUAAAAGCUGCGGCUGUGUUCGAACGUAGAGACGUGAUCACGUGUACAUAGAAAGCUAGUAGUGGUUGUUAGUGCAUGCAAGAUUGGUCAAAUCGCGGAGUUAGUUAGUAGCCUAGAUAAAAGGUCCUAGUAGAUUGAGUCCUGAGUGCAUGGCGAGAUUUGCUGGCCGUUGGAGGAAGUGCUAGUCGUGGGCAUGCAUAU